rnacentral:misc_RNA from 1 species
UCAACCAUUAGGGUUUCUUAAUGGCUUGGAAUUGGGUGUUGCCAGUCGCCUGGCUCGCCUUAAAAGAGUUAGCGUGUUUAACUUGUCUAUCUGGCGUAAUAAGUUUCGCUGGUGUCGGCUUGAGAAGUACGCUUCUAAUCGUCUUCGGACAAUUCUUGAACUCUGGUCUCAAAUCAGGUAGGGCUACCCGCUGAACUUAA